AUGCGUUGUUGGGUAGGGGAGCGUUCUGUAAGCCUGCGAAGGUGUGCUGUGAGGCAUGCUGGAGGUAUCAGAAGUGCGAAUGCUGACAUAAGUAACGAUAAAGCGGGUGAAAAGCCCGCUCGCCGGAAGACCAAGGGUUCCUGUCCAACGUUAAUCGGGGCAGGGUGAGUCGACCCCUAAGGCGAGGCCGAAAGGCGUAGUCGAUGGGAAACAGGUUAAUAUUCCUGUACUUGGUGUUACUGCGAAGGGGGGACGGAGAAGGCUAUGUUGGCCGGGCGACGGUUGUCCCGGUUUAAGCGUGUAGGCUGGUUUUCCAGGCAAAUCCGGAAAAUCAAGGCUGAGGCGUGAUGACGAGGCACUACGGUGCUGAAGCAACAAAUGCCCUGCUUCCAGGAAAAGCCUCUAAGCAUCAGGUAACAUCAAAUCGUACCCCAAACCGACACAGGUGGUCAGGUAGAGAAUACCAAGGCGCUUGAGAGAACUCGGGUGAAGGAACUAGGCAAAAUGGUGCCGUAACUUCGGGAGAAGGCACGCUGAUAUGUAGGUGA
rnacentral:rRNA from 1 species